GUUUGUAUUGACAGGUGGUGGAACAAAUAUGAGUUUUUUAUAUGCUAAUCAGAUAAAAAUAAAACUCAUAUUUAGUUCUACCAACUGUUAAAGCACACA
rnacentral:pre_miRNA from 1 species